rnacentral:rRNA from 1 species
AGAUAAUAGAUACCCUGGUAGUCCACGCUGUAAACGAUGGGUACUAGGUGUUGUGGGAAUUGACCCCUACAGUGCCGCAGUUAAACACAUUAAGUACCCCGCCUGGGAAGUACGGUCGCAAGAUUAAAACUCAAAGGAAUUGACGGGGGCCCGGCACAAGCGGUGGAGCAUGUGGUUUAAUUCGAUGCAACGCGAAGAACCUUACCUGGGUUAGACAACGCAAGACAAUGGUAGAGAUAUCACCUUGUAGCAAUACACUUGCGGUUCAGGUGCUGCAUGGCUGUCGUCAGCUCGUAUCGUGAGAUGUCGGGUUAAGUCCCUUAACGAGCGCAACCCCUAUCCCUAGUUGCCACCAUUCAGUUGGGCACUCUAUGGAGACCGCCGGCGUUAAGACCGGCGGAAAGGCGGGGAGUGACGUCAAGUCCUCAUGGCCCGUUACUGUCCAGGGCGUACACACGUGCUACAAUGGCAGGUACAAAGGGUUGUCCAACCAGCGAUGGGAGCUAAUCUCAGAAAGCCUGUCUCAGUUCGGAUUGAAGU